rnacentral:rRNA from 1 species
AACGUAGGUUCCGAGCGUUAUCCGGAUUUACUGGGCGUAAAGCGCGUUCAGGCGGUUUGGCAAGUCGGGCAUGAAAUCUCUCGGCUCAACCGGGAGAGGUUGUCCGAUACUGCUGGACUUGAGGGCAGGAGGGGAGAGCGGAAUUCCUGGUGGAGCGGUGAAAUGCGUAGAUAUCGGGAGGAACACCAGUGGCGAAGGCGGCUAUCUGGACCAACACUGACACUGAGGCACAAAAGCGUGGGGAGCAAACAGG